ensembl:rRNA 5S_rRNA 5S ribosomal RNA
ACCUUAGGUUUCACCACCCUGAACGUGCCCGAUCUCGUCUGAUCUCGGAAGCUAAGCAGGGUCGGCCCUGGUUAGUACUUGGAUGGGAGAUCUUAGUCAUUCUUAUCAGUGUAAUAUGGAAUCUUAGAGUG